GAUGCAGGUGGGGCUGGUGCUUCUGGGCUUCUUCUGUAACGAAGGGCUGGAGCUGGACCGGCCGGUUGCUUCCAGUGGCUGGGGCCGCCCAUCCCUCAGAGUCACCCUGCCAAGAGCCAAGGCGAACGUACCUGCCUGUGCAAGGAAGUGCCCAGGGGCACCGAGCCCUCGGCCAGUGCUUAGUUUGUGCUGUUAGGUGCCAAGCUAUGGAAGAAGGCAGAGUAAUUGUGGGCAGUGGGACACGUGGUGAUGAGUGGCCGUCAGAGGAGAGGAGGGGACAGAUGCCUCCAGCCUGGCAAGAUGUGGUACCCAUGUAAGCCUGCCCUCAAGCCCGGUUGUUCAAUGGCAGCCCGUACAGCCCUCUGGAACAUGGUGGAACUGAGGGUGAGGAAGCAGUUGGGAGACAACUGAGGCCCGAGUGGCAGAGAACUUGGGGCAAAUCCAGCUGAACGUGACUUAGAGCUCAUUGCUGAGCCUACCCUCCGGCUGUCUUGGGGCCUUUCCGUGCUGGUCCUAAAAGAGGACAUGUUGAACUGUUAAAAAUGACCACAGUUACACCACUCCUAAAAAAAAUCAAAACAGGACACAGGUGAUGUGAACAAGUGUAGACCAAAAGCCAACAUCCCUGAAAGAAGAGCUGUCAUCAAUGACCUGGACCAGGGGGUGACCAGUCUGCUGAUUAAAUUCGCAGAGGAUACGAAAAUGGCAACAACUGAGGAGCAGCAUCUGGGGCCUUUCCAGCUGCUGGGGGCCAUGCCUCGAGAGGCCCCGCUCGCUCUCAGGCUGCAGGACACAAAGGAGAUCUUCAGAGACCUCCGACAGGCGGGUCUGCGGAGCAGGCAAGUGGGCUGGGAGGAGGAGAGCCGGUUUGUGUA